GGAGUGCUUGCACUCUGUGAAACAAGAUACAGGCUAGCGGCGGACGGGUGAGUAACACGUGGGUAACCUGCCCAAGAGAUCGGGAUAACACCUGGAAACAGAUGCUAAUACCGGAUAACAACAGAUGAUGCCUAUCAACUGUUUAAAAGAUGGUUCUGCUAUCACUCUUGGAUGGACCUGCGGUGCAUUAGCUAGUUGGUAGGGUAACGGCCUACCAAGGCGGUGAUGCAUAGCCGAGUUGAGAGACUGAUCGGCCACAUUGGGACUGAGACACGGCCCAAACUCCUACGGGAGGCAGCAGUAGGGAAUCUUCCACAAUGGACGCAAGUCUGAUGGAGCAACGCCGCGUGAGUGAAGAAGGGUUUCGGCUCGUAAAGCUCUGUUGUUGGUGAAGAA
rnacentral:rRNA from 1 species